rnacentral:misc_RNA from 1 species
CUCUUGCAGGAAUUGAACCCAGAAGGAUAUCAUCCUCAUCAAGAAUACGCACUACAAAUGGACAUUGAACAUGGUUCUGGGCCUCAAGAGCAAUGGAUGGUGUUUGGAAUACUGCAAGGGCCACUGUAUCAUUUACCCAGCGAAUGACAAAUCCACGACUUGCAAAGUCCUGGAAAAGCUUCUCAAGCUCUAUUGUCCUCGUACUUGGUGGAAAGUCAGAUAGAACAAGAACAUGGUGUGUGCCAUAUUUACAAUGUAUUGAUUCUAGAUUCUGUUGUUUACUUUUGCAUGAAUCAUCCUCCUCUUUGUCACUAGAAAAAGACGUAUAAGACUGCCGAUCACUAUAAAGUUUGUCUUCUUUGUAUGAGAAUGUUCCCCUUCCACGUCGCUUGGGGCCUUUAACUUUAUUUUCCUUCAAUGAAAGGUUUGAUACACUAGGUAAGCCUUGUGGGGAGAGUAAUUCAUUGGGAGCACGAUCUGCGAUAGCUUCCCAAUCAUCAUCUGAAGAUCCUUUGCAAGGAGAAGCAUCAUCAGGCAGUCUAAACGAUUCCUCAAGAUGCCCUUUUAUACAAGGCCCAUCAAUAACUGAAUCACUAGAAGAUAAAGCGGCAUUGGACUUUGAAUUUGACACCACAUCUUCGAUCAAGUGCUUCGUCACAUCUUCCGCACUAGAAGGGCGAGACUGAAGGGCGAGUUGUUUGAGGACCGAAGCGCGAGAGAGAAGCUCGUCGGAUUUGAGAGAGAAGUGCUUGGUGGAAUAGAGCUUGGACAAUUCAGUAAAGGCAGAAGCCAAUUGGAGAUCAAGCGUUUCAGAUCGGCUCAGGGUUUCAAGUUUUGAAACCACCGUUUCAAGGAGAGAGAUUGCGCCGUCUGUGUCCCCGGCUGUCACAAGAUCUUCAACUGACUCGCUCCAGUUUAGACUGGGUUGUUGUUCAAUAGCUUCGCCUUGUUCCAUUUAGGCAAAUUCAGUUAAAUUUGCGACUUCAAAUGGAGUAUGUAAGAGCGACAGGCAGCAAUUGAAUUCCAAGCACAAAACCACUUUUGGGAUUCUUCCGACAGGAGAACAGAAC